UACGGGGGGGGCAAGCGUUGUUCGGAAUUACUGGGCGUAAAGGGCGCGUAGGCGGUUCGCUAAGUUGGAUGUGAAAACUCUGGGCUCAACCCAGAGCCUGCAUCCAAAACUGGCGGGCUAGAGUUCUGGAGGGGAUAGCGGAAUUCCUGGUGUAGCGGUGAAAUGCGUAGAUAUCAGGAGGAACACCGGUGGCGAAGGCGGCUAUCUGGACAGAGUCUGACGCUGAGGCGCGAAAGCUAGGGAGCAAACAGG
rnacentral:rRNA from 1 species